rnacentral:rRNA from 1 species
GUGAACGCUGGCGGUAGGCCUAACACAUGCAAGUCGCACGGCAGCACAGUAAGAGCUUGCUCUUACGGGUGGCGAGUGGCGGACGGGUGAGGAAUACAUCGGAAUCUACUUUUUCGUGGGGGAUAACGUAGGGAAACUUACGCUAAUACCGCAUACGACCUACGGGUGAAAGCAGGGGAUCUUCGGACCUUGUGCGAUUGAAUGAGCCGAUGUCGGAUUAGCUAGUUGGCGGGGUAAAGGCCCACCAAGGCGACGAUCCGUAGCUGGUCUGAGAGGAUGAUCAGCCACACUGGAACUGAGACACGGUCCAGACUCCUACGGGAGGCAGCAGUGGGGAAUAUUGGACAAUGGGCGCAAGCCUGAUCCAGCCAUACCGCGUGGGUGAAGAAGGCCUUCGGGUUGCAAAGCCCUUUUGUUGGGAAAGAAAAGCAGCAGGUUAAUACCCCGCUGUUCUGACGGUACCCAAAGAAUAAGCACCGGCUAACUUCGUG